rnacentral:lncRNA from 1 species
UAGUAGCAGAUAUGUUAUAUCUUUAGUGGGCAAAAUCACUAAAUUUUUAGAAUGCGCAGCCAUGAAGUAGAAGCUUUGAUCGGAGCUGAAAUUCGGUUUUGCCAACUGUAGAGUGAGUGCAGAUAUUGCUGUUGCCGAUGUCCUGUACCCACUGAGCAAAUUCAGAUAGUUUCGUAUAGUGCAUCGCAUCCAUUGCAUUUAGAUCAAUUAAAGGGAAAAAAAGUCGUGGCAUAAAACCGUAAACUAAUGCACACAAGCAUCUCAUUAUACUAUCAUAAUAUGUAAUUCUCAGCUAGAAUUGACAUACAUGGCCAAACUUUUUCAGAUUGUGACAUCAUUUUUUCAUGUACCCAAGACUGGAAAGAACAGAAAAGGAACUUUCGAAAAGCUACUUACAGCAAUAACUUUGUUCUCUGAAAUGUUGGUUAGUACUAAAAACAAGAAGGCACCGUUGUCAUUGUUUGUCUAGAACAGCUGUACAUAGGAACUUAUCAAUCUGAAGCUUGUAUGCUGAACUCACCGAUUGCAAGGAAGAGGGAGAAGCUGAUGGAGGCAGGGCUACAGGAAACUGCUAUUGCGCGGCACAGACAGGGAGAAUAAUGAUAC